AUUAUCACUUUAACAUAUAAUAAAUAUGAUGUUAUUAACGAGAUAUUUGACAUUCCUGUUUUUGGUACCUCAUCUUGGAAGUACGGUAUAUAUCUCACACUUACAGCACAUCUCAGUUCCAACUAGUCACCUUUCAAGUGCUCAUUAACUACAAGUGCCUGGUGGUUACAUUUUGGAGAUAAGGUUCAGGCCGAAAGCCAGGCCUCUUGUACCAAGUCGCCAAGCUGAGAAUGUAAAGGAAAAGUUCUCGAAGGGAAUUAAAAGUGCUCCUCGAGUGAACCCACAAAUGAUAAGAAAGCAAGAGUCUUGUUGCUGAUACGGAGAAAGUCUGAGUGGUGUGGAUAGAUCAAAGCAGCUACAACAUUCCCUUAAGCCAAAGGCUAAUCCAGGGCAAGGCCUUAACUCUCUUCAAUUCUGUGAAGGCUCAGAGAGGUGAGGAAGCUGCAGAAGAAAAGUCUGAAGCUAGCAGAGGUCGGUUCGUGAGGUUUCAGGAAAGAAGCCGUCUCCAUAACAUAAAGUGCAAGGUGAGGCAGCGAGUGCUGACGGAGAAGCUGCAAGUUACCCAGAAGGUCUCGCUCGGAUAAUUCAGAAAAGUGGCCACACUAAACAGACUUUCAAUGCAGAUGAAACAGCCUCCUAUUAGAAGAAGAUGCCAUCUGGGACUUUCACAGCUGAAGAAAAGUCAAGGCCUGGCUUCAAAGUUUCAAAGGACAGGCUGACUCUUUUCUUGUUAGGGGCUAAUGCAGCCGUGACUUUACACUGAAGCUAAUGCUAACCAUUCUGAAAGUCCUAGGGCCCUUUAGAAUUACACUAAAUCCACUCUACCUGUAUCCUAUAAAUAGAACAACAAAGCCCGAAUGACAGCACAUCUGUUGACAACGUGGGUUACUUAAUGUUUUAAGCCCACUGUUGAGACCUACUGCUCAGAAAAGAAAAGAUUCCUUUCAAAAGAUUACUGCCCGUCGACAAUGCUGCUGGUCACCCAAGACCUCUAACGGAGAUGGACAAUGAGAUUAAUGUCAUUUGCAGGCCCUCUAAUACAAUGUCCAUUCUGCAGCCAAUGGAUCAAGGAGUUGUUCUGACUUUCAGGUCUUAUCAUAUCAUAAGGCUAUAACUGCCAUAGGUCGUGCUUCCUCUUAGAUCUGGGCAAAGUAAAUUGAAAACCUUCUGGAAAGGAUUAGUGAUCCAGGAUACCAUUAAGAACAUCCAUGAUUCAUGGGGAGAGAUCCAAAAUCAAUAUGAACAAGAGUUUGGAAGAAGUUGAUUCCGAGCCUCGUGGAUGACUGGGAGGGGUUCAGGACUUGAGUGGAGGAAGUCACUGCAGACGUGGUGGAAAUAACAAGAGAACUAGAACGACAAGUGGGGCCUGACGAUGUGACAGAAUUUCUACAAUCUCAGGGCAAAACGUGAACAGAUGAGGGGCUGCUUCCCAUGGACGAGCAAGAAAGUGGUUUCCUGAGAUGGAAUCCACUCCUGGGGAAGAUGCUGUGAAGACUGUGGAAAUGGCAGCAAAGGAGUUAGAACACAGAAUAUGACAUAAACUUAGCUGCUAAAGCAGCAGUAGGGGUGCCCGGGUGGCUCAGUCGGUUAAGCGGGCAGCUCUUGAUUUCAGCUCCGGUCAUGAUCUCACAGUUUGUGAGAUCGAGCCCCACCUCGGGCUCUGUGCUGACGGUGUGGAGCCUGCUUGGGAUUCUCUCUCUCUCCUCUCUCCACCCCUCCCCUGCUCACUCUUUCUGUCUCUCUCUCAAAAAAAAAAAAAAAAGAAAAGAAAAGAAAAGAUAAGAAAAAGAAAAAGAAAAAGCAACAGCAGAGUUUGAGAGGACUGACUUCAAUUUGGAAAGACGUUCUGCUGUGGGUAGAAUGCUAUCAAACAGCAUCACAUGCUACAGAGAAAUGUUUCGUGAAAGCAACAGCCAAUCGAUGGGACAGGCUUCAUUGUUGUCUUAUUUGAGGAAAUUGCCACAGCCACCACAACCUUCAGCCAUCACCACCCCGAGGAGUCAGCAGCCUUCAACAUCAAGCCUCCAACUAGCAAAAUCAUUAUGACUCACCGAAAGCUCGGAUAAGGGUUAGCAUUUUCUAGCAAAAAAUUAUUUUUCCAUCAAGGUAUGUACAUUGUAUUUUUUAGACAUAAUGCUAUUACACAUUUCGGCUACAAUAUAGUGUAAACAAACUUUUAAUAUGCACUGGAGAACCAAAACAUUCAUUUGACUUGCUUUAUUGCAAUAUUCCCUUUAUUGCCGUGCUCUGGAACCAAACCUACCAUAUCUCUGAGGUAUGUCUGUGUGCCAUGAUACAUGUGCCCAUUUAUUUGUUUAACUUAUGUUUCCCCUAGAAGACAGAAAGUCUUGCGUAUAAAACAUUAUUCUAGUCCCCAGAUCGAAAGCACUGAACCAGAAUUUAAAGUAUGUCCCUGCUUGUCUAAGGUUUAAUUUGUAGUGGAGGGACACUGAAAAUAAACACAUGAAUGAGCACGUCGGCCAUAUCAUGUAUCACAUCCUUCCAUGGUCUAUCAUCUCAUAAAUCACUUAAUGAGAAAAGCAAUGCAGAAAAACAAAAGAGGUAAGGGAAUAAAGAACAAUAUGGGAGAGGUAAGGUCUCUUGUUUUAAGCAGAAUGCUGAGGGAGGAGUUCACUGCUGAUGCCUGAACAGACAUGAAUGAAGUGAAGGAGCGAGCCAUGCAGGAAUCUGGAGGGAGUGAAGUCUCAGCAAGAAGAAUAGUAAGUACUAGAAUGUUCGUUGACAUGGAGAAGUACUUGGAGAAAACUGAGUAGUGGGAGGUGGGAAUCAAGAUUUCAGUUGGGCCCUUUAAAAAUUGAGUUGCCUACCUAGUAGGGGUGAUAUUAAAAAGUAUCAACAGAUAGGGGCGCCUGGGUGGCUCAGUCAGUUAAGCGUCCGACUUCAGCUCAGGUCACGAUCUCGCGAUUCAUGAGUUCGAGCCCCGCGUCUGGCUCUGUGCUGACAGCUCUGCGCCUGGAGCCUGCUUCAGAUUCUGUGUCUCCCUCUCUCUCUGCCCCUCCCCUACUCAUGCUCUGUCUCUCUCUGUCUCUCAAAAAUAAAUAAAAACAUUAAAAAAUAUAUAUAUCAGAUGGGACACCAGGCUGGCUCAGUUGGUGCAGCAUGUGACUCUUGAUCUCGCGGUUGUAAGUUCGAUCCCCAUAUUGGGUGCAGAGAUUACUUAAAAAUAAAAUCUUAAAAAAAAAAAAUCCACAGAUGUUCAACAGAUGCUGGCCAAUCAGAAAGGAUUCUCCACUAUUCAGAGCUGAUGACACUUAUAAACCAAUGAUAAUACCAUAGUGAAACUUGCCAGUGAGUGUUAGCUCUGCCUAUGAGAUGUCCAAGUGGAGACAUGUGAUUCUGGAGUUCAGGAGAGGAUCAGGGCUGGUGAUGAGUGGUUUAAGACUAUAGGAUUAUGGGAGGUGACGGGGAGGGGAAAGUGGGUGACGGACAUUGAGGAGGGCACCUGUCGGGAUGAGCACUGAGUGUUGUAUGGAAACAAAUUUGACAAUAAAUUUCAUAUUAAAAAGAAAAAAAGACCAUGGGAUUGGUGAGAUCAUCAACUGAGUGGGUGUAGAGAUAUACAAAUGAAAAGGUCAAGCACUGAGAAAGAUAGCCUGCAAAGGUGAGAAGUGACCAUUGAGGUAGAGGAAAACCAAGUAGGGGUGGUGUCCUAGGAGCCAAAGGGAGAAUGUAUUUCAAGGAGAGAGCAAUCUAUGGUGACAAGUGCUGUUGCAGGGUUAAGAAAAUCACCGAAGACCCAUCGUUGGAUUGGAAACGUGGAGGUCCUUGGCUUUGACCAGGACGGUUUUAGUGGAGUCGCUGGGAUAGAAGCCUGCUUGGAAUGUGAUCAAGAGAUGACCAGAGCUGAAAAGUCUGCUUAACUCUUUGAAGACGAUGAGAGAAAUUACGGUGUUUGCUUACUGAUGGAAAUGAUCUGGCAUAGGAGGCAUCGAUGAGAAGCUACUGCAGAGCAAAUCUUUGAGCAGGUGGAAGGAAAUUGAAUGGAGCGCAGAAGAGGACAUAGACAGUUGCAGAAUUGGAGUGGAAGAACAUGCCCUAUUGCCAUUGCCAUCACCCUUCUUCCACAAAAGGCUAAAGAUUUGUGAAGACUGUAGAUUGACUGAAAAGGACUUCGACUCUCCGUUGAAUGCUUGCGCUCAGACGAUCUACCCGAGGGCUUGUGUCCUGCUUUCUUCAAUGAGGUGAAUGUGAGGACACAAUAAAUUAUAUUCAAAUGGCAGUCAUGGAGGAAACUUCCCUUUCCUUCCUCAUCCACCAAGCUGAUCGAUGGGCUCUAAAGCCCCGGGGAAGCAGCAUCUGUUGUAACUCAAGGAUCCCUGCUCGAGCUGAGUAUGAAAUUAACAGACACAGAGCAGUUAGCAGCUCAACAUUUGUUCAAGUCUGGCACAUGCACACAUCAUUAGCAACUAUAUUUGAGGAGCAAGAUCAAGGAGGUGAGGAAGAGGGUGUAUCUGAUUAAAGGGAUAUUCAGGAAAGAGGAAAUUCAGAGCAUUUAGGUAAAGCUUCAUGGCUAAAAUAAAUGAACUGGAGAGCAGAGCAAACAGCCAGGGACAUGGGAUAAUUUUGCCCGUGCAACUUCCCAAACAAAGUCAUUUCACGCAGUGGAUCCCCCAGAGUGGCUGGCUGCCUCUUUUACUUCAGCUCCAUGGGCUGUCUCUCCACUAAAAUUCGAGGGCAAAGAUUUUGCUGUCCUGUUCACUGCUGUAAUCUGGGCUCUUAGUAGAUAAAAUUAAAUAUUCAUGGAAUAAGUUAACGUA